rnacentral:tRNA from 2 species
CGCGGGGUGGAGCAGCCUGGUAGCUCGUCGGGCUCAUAACCCGAAGGUCGUCGAUUCAAAUCCGGCCCCCGCAACCA